UACGUAGGGGGCAAGCGUUGUCCGGAAUCAUUGGGCGUAAAGAGCGUGUAGGCGGCCCGAUAAGUCCGCUGUGAAAGUCCAGGGCUCAACCCUGGAAUGCCGGUGGAUACUGUCGGGCUCGAAUCCGGAAGAGGUGAGUGGAAUUCCUGGUGUAGCGGUGAAAUGCGCAGAUACCAGGAGGAACACCAAUGGCGAAGGCAGCUCACUGGGACGGUAUUGACGCUGAGACGCGAAAGCGUGGGGAGCAAACAGG
rnacentral:rRNA from 1 species